rnacentral:rRNA from 1 species
GGGGAACUGAAACAUCUAAGUACCCGGAGGAGAGGAAAUCAAUCUCGAGACUCCCCGAGUAGCGGCGAGCGAAAGGGGACCGAUGGCCAAACCGUCGAGCGGGCAUACCCGGCAGGGGUUCCGCCGACGGGGUUGCAGGGCCGCGCAUCCGGGGGCUGCCGCCCCCGGGCGCAGGUCCGGCUGGGGAGCGGAACGGCAUGGGAGGGCCGGCCGCAGCGGGUGACAGCCCCGUACGCGAACCCAGACCGGACGGCGCGACGCGGUCCCUGAGUAGGGCCGGGCACGUGAAACCCGGUCCGAACCUGGGUGGACCACCAUCCAAGCCUGAGUACUACCCUGUGACCGAUAGCGCACCAGUACCGUGAGGGAAAGGUGAAAAGCACCCCGG